rnacentral:rRNA from 1 species
UGGGGAAUAUUGCGCAAUGGGCGGAAGCCUGACGCAGCGACGCCGCGUGAGGGAUGACGGCCUUCGGGUUGUAAACCUCUUUCACCCACGACGAAGCGAAAGUGACGGUAGUGGGAGAAGAAGCACCGGCCAACUACGUGCCAGCAGCCGCGGUAAUACGUAGGGUGCAAGCGUUGUCCGGAAUUAUUGGGCGUAAAGAGCUCGUAGGCGGUUUGUCGCGUCGGCUGUGAAAGCCCGGAGCUCAACUCCGGGUCUGCAGUCGAUACGGGCAGACUUGAGUGUUGCAGGGGAGACUGGAAUUCCUGGUGUAGCGGUGAAAUGCGCAGAUAUCAGGAGGAACACCGGUGGCGAAGGCGGGUCUCUGGGCAACAACUGACGCUGAGGAGCGAAAGCGUGGGGAGCGAACAGGAUUAGAUACCCUGGUAGUCCACGCCGUAAACGUUGGGCGCUAGGUGUGGGGGCCAUUCCACGGUCUCCGUGCCGCAGCUAACGCAUUAAGCGCCCC